CACCCCGACGAGAUGAGGGAGACACUGUGGGGUCCGGUUGGGUCAUGACUGUGUGCGGAAAGCCUUAAAAAGGCUUGUGUGCCCUUUGACCCAUUAUUUCUGAUUAUAGGAAUUUCUGCAGAGUUUAUAAUCAAAGGUGUUCUGUAUUCUAGGACUAAAAAAUCCUGAAGUACCCUAACUGUGAAUUCCUGGGGGAUUUGUUAAAUAAUCUGUGGAGUGACAGUAUUUCCUGCUCUAAAAGGAACGUGGCAAGAACAGCGUACCGAUGUGGCUCAGUGUUCAUGACGUAGCGUUAUGGAUGUGUACGGUCGGAUUCCGGUUCUGAGAAUAAUCACAUACCCAUGUGUGUUUGUGCGCGCGCGCGUGUGUGUGUGUGUGAGUGUGUGAGAGAGAGAUACGAAAAGUUUGGAAAAAUAUAUGCCAGCACUUAAACCUGGUUAUUUGUGAAUGUUUCAUUUCGGUCUUUGAAAACCUAAGUAUUUUCUUAAACUCUUAUAAUUGGUUUUGUAACAAAAAAAUAAAUCAUCGUUUAAGGCACUGAGUAAUAUUUAUUAUCCAAAGGCAGGCAGUAAUCACUGGCAAAGACAGUCUCCUCACCACUGGACUUUAGACUCUUCAUCUUCACACAUGUCCUUUCCUGAGCAGAAAAGUACACUCUUACAUGUCGUGUUGAAAUCACAGCACUGAGUCGUGCAUCACCGAGGCAACAGCGCCUUGCAGAAUGUAUUGCUUCCCGGCCUGCAAAGGAGCCAAACCCAGGUGUAGCCGAGUCUGUGGCGCCUCCCUGGCCGGACCUACACUUUCCCCUGCACAUUCAUACCAGGGGAUGCAGGGGGAAGCCAGCCGACUGACUGCUGUGACCAGACCCGUGACCCAGUGACACCGGGAAGGAACUUGGUCCCUAGGGCCCAGGAAUUCCUGACAGGCGUUUCUGAUGACCCAGAGAGGUGCAUCUGGGCUGCUUGCCCCCCGUCCUCCCGCAGUGCCGCGUCUCCCAGAGCUGAGGAGCACGGGAGUCUUCAUCCCUCCAGUGGAGUGCCAGUCGGUAAGGGCUUGGGAAGGGGAGCCGGCACCAGAGCCCCUGGCUGGGGCUCCCUGUGUGGGGAGCCCAGGAAGCCCACAGCCCUGAGUCCCUCCCCGCCCGCACCUCCAGGGAGGGGCUGUCCUAGCCCCGUUUCCCAGAGAGAAAGUAGGGAAUAAAAGACACCGGACCACUUGCCUCGAGCUUGCCGGUCAGUGACACUUCGGGCUUUGGAACCCCUGUCUGGACCCAGAACCUUCCUUACCCACCUCUCCUGGGAUCUCCAAACUCCAGAGGGCAUCGGACUCACUGGGGG
rnacentral:lncRNA from 1 species